GAUCAUGGCUCAGGACGAACGCUGGCGGCGCACCUAACACAUGCAAGUCGAACGAGCGAGAGAGAGCUUGCUUUCUCGAGCGAGUGGCGAACGGGUGAGUAACGCGUGAGGAACCUGCCUCAAAGAGGGGGACAACAGUUGGAAACGACUGCUAAUACCGCAUAAGCCCACGGCUCGGCAUCGAGCAGAGGGAAAAGGAGUAAUCCGCUUUGAGAUGGCCUCGCGUCCGAUUAG
rnacentral:rRNA from 1 species